GGGCGGUUAGCUCAGCUGGGAGAGCAUCCCGUUUACACCGGGAAGGUCGUGGGUUCGAGCCCCUCACCGCCCA
rnacentral:tRNA from 1 species